GUGGUAACAAAUAUACCAAUGACAUCUGUUAUAAAAUCGGCCCAAACCAACUGUACCAUAUCUAUGAUGUACCUCAUUUAUUGAAAUGUUUUCGCAAUAAUUUUCAGAAAAAACCUACUCAUUGGCAACCAAAGGGCAAAGUGGGAGUAUAUUGAGAGACUUUAUAAAGUGGAUGGUUUUGGUGGCAGAGCAAGAAGCACCAAACUUACUGAGAAGCACAUAAAUCCAACUUCAUAUGACAAAAUGAAGGAUCUUUAGGUCAUCAGCAAACAUGAAAGGUGUGGAAUGAUGCAAGCAAUUGAUAAUGUCAUUUAUGAACAUAUUAAAAAUAACAGUCCCAAAUGGGAGCCCUGUGGGCACCCCAGAAGCAAUAUGAUGGAAAUUGGAACUAAAACCAUUAAGAACCACAUGGUAAGUGCGACCAGUAAGAUAAGAUUGAAACCAUUCAUACAUGUGCCAAGAGUACCCAUACCCGGAUAACUUCUGCAGCAAGAGUUCGUGAAAAACGUUGUCAAAAGCCUUACUGAAAUUUGUAUAUAUUACAUCAGUUUGCAUGUUAUUGUCUAAGACUUCUGAAAGCAACUCAGUAAAAGAGACCAAAUUAGUGCUUGUUGAGCGAAAUUUAACAAAACCAUGUUGGUGUUCAGUUAAAAAUGGUUUGAAGUAAGCUUCCAGAUAUGGAAAUACUACAAAUUCAAACAAUUUUGCCAUAGUAAAAAAUAGAAAUCGGUCGAUAGUUGGACAUUAAUGUGUUAUUGCCCGACUUGUGUAUCGGCACCACUCUAGCUACCUUCCAUUUCUUUGGAAAAAUUCCGGUUUUCAGUGAUUUUUAUAGAUUUUACAAAGUGGACUAGUCAGAUUUCUUGUUCAUGCAACAAUAAAAUUUGGUGGAAUAUUGUCUGGGCCAGAACCUUUGCUUAUAUCAAGAGUCUUAAGUUUACGUGAAACUUCAUUAAGUGUGAUGUGCAACGACGUAAAACUACGAGUCCAAGUCCGAGGAGUAACUCGCACAGCUAUCCAUGAAAUGAUAAGAAAAAUUCGGGUUAGCAUCGACAUUCGACUCCAUUAGUAUCUUUCUCGUACACUGAUGCAAAGUGCGAAGCAAACAUAUUACAUAUUUCAACUUCUUUGGAACUAACUUGAUUACCACCGGACAUCGAAGCUGGGAGAAAGCAAGAUCCUCUUCUUUUGGCCUUGAUGAAUGACCAAAAA